UACGGAGGGGGCUAGCGUUGUUCGGAAUUACUGGGCGUAAAGCGCGCGUAGGCGGAUCUGCAAGUCGGGGGUGAAAUCCCGAGGCUCAACCCCGGAAUUGCCUUUAAGACUGCAUCGCUUGAAUCCGGGAGAGGUGAGUGGAAUUCCGAGUGUAGAGGUGAAAUUCGUAGAUAUUCGGAAGAACACCAGUGGCGAAGGCGGCUCACUGGACCGGUAUUGACGCUGAGGUGCGAAAGCGUGGGGAGCAAACAGG
rnacentral:rRNA from 1 species